AGCAGCCGCCACGGGAAUACGUAGGGUGCAAGCGUUAAUCGGAAUUACUGGGCGUAGCGUGCGCAGGCGGUUAUAUAAGACAGAUGUGAAAUCCCCGGGCUCAACCUGGGAACUGCAUUUGUGACUGUAUAGCUAGAGUACGGCAGAGGGGGAUGGAAUUCCGCGUGUAGCAGUGAAAUGCGUAGAUAUGCGGAGGAACACCGAUGGCGAAGGCAAUCCCCUGGGCCUGUACUGACGCUCAUGCACGAAAGCGUGGGGAGCAAACAGGAUUAGAUACCCCAGUAGUCCCUGUCUCUUAUACAC
rnacentral:rRNA from 1 species